rnacentral:rRNA from 1 species
UACGAAGGGGGCUAGCGUUGUUCGGAAUUACUGGGCGUAAAGCGCGCGCAGGCAGUCUUCCAAGUCAGUGGUGAAAGCCUGGAGCUCAACUCCAGAACUGCCAUUGAAACUGUUAGACUUGAGUACGAGAGAGGUGAGUGGAAUUCCCAGUGUAGAGGUGAAAUUCGUAGAUAUUGGGAAGAACACCAGUGGCGAAGGCGGCUCACUGGCUCGUAACUGACGCUCAGGCGCGACAGCGUGGGGAUCAAACAGG